rnacentral:rRNA from 1 species
CCCGCUGAACUUAAGCAUAUCAAUAAGCGGAGGAAAAGAAACUAACAAGGAUUCCCCUAGUAACUGCGAGUGAAGCGGGAAAAGCUCAAAUUUAAAAUCUGGUGGUCUCUGGCCAUCCGAGUUGUAAUCUAGAGAAGUGCUAUCCGUGCUGGACCGUGUACAAGUUUCCUGGAACGGAGCGUCAUAGAGGGUGAGAAUCCCGUCUCUGACACGGACUACCAGUGCAUUGUGAUGCGCUCUCAAAGAGUCGAGUUGUUUGGGAAUGCAGCUCUAAAUGGGUGGUAAAUUCCAUCUAAAGCUAAAUAUUGGCGAGAGACCGAUAGCGAACAAGUACCGUGAGGGAAAGAUGAAAAGAACUUUGGAAAGAGAGUUAAACAGUACGUGAAAUUGUUGAAAGGGAAACGCUUGAAGUCAGUCGCGUUGGCCAGGGAUCAACCUUGCUUUUGCUUGGUGUACUUUCUGGUCGACGGGUCAGCAUCAAUUUUGACCGGUGGACAAAGGUCAGGGGAAUGUGGCAUCUUCGGAUGUGUUAUAGCCCUUGGCUGCAUACAUCGGUUGGGAUUGAGGAACUCAGCACGCCGCAAGGCCGGGUUUUUAACCACGUACGUGCUUAGGAUGCUGGCAUAAUGGCUUUAAUCGACCCGUCUUGAAACACGG